rnacentral:lncRNA from 1 species
CCCCUAAUACUUUGUGAAGAUGCACCUUGAAGUGUUAUAAAUAAAGAACUGCAGGUAAUAUAGCUUGACUUUCAGAGCAAAAUUGUGAUGCUAUUCAUCUUCUAAUACAUUUUCCCAGAAAUUUUACCAAGAAAUGGAGCUAGAGAAUAAUCUUAGAGCUCUUACAUACCAUUUGAUUCAGUCAAUAGAAAGAAUGAAAGUAUGUAAACAAGAAGCAAAUAGAGAAAAAAAGAAGAAAAAAUGUAAAAGUAAGGAAAUGCUUUAAUGAAACACUAAAAUAAUUUUAACUAACUAUACAGUGGAAAUAAUGGUUAACCAAUCAUAAGUGAUUCAGUUAUGGAUAAGAUUCCCCUUAUUACAAUUAAGUUAUAUUUAGCUUAAUUUAACUGUAUUUCAAUUUAGAUGUUUUAUGUUCAUCAACAGGAGUGAGGACAGGUCAGAUGAUGAAAAUGCAACAUUCUGUACAUCUUAAAAAAAAAAAGUAGUUUCCCUGGUUUCCUAUCCCCAAAUUUAUGGCUAAUUUAAAACAGAAUAAUACAUGCCCUAAGUAACAAUAAGUGGAAGGAACAUGGACUGAAUUCAUGCAGUGAGACAGAUUUUUCCAUGGUGUAGAAUUAGUGUACAACUAACAUUCCAUGAUUUUCAAGAAAAAUAUUUUAUUUUAGUGAAUUUACCUAAAAAUGUUAAUGAAUAACGAAAAUAUGCCAAUAUCCUAUUCUUGAUGGUAGAGAACAGUGGAGAAUAUAGUAGAUAUAAUUCCUACUACCUUAAAAUGUGUGUUUUGAUGGCAAUUACAGUCUGACCUAAGCUUAUAUAUAAGUAACUGCUAUUAAACAGGAAAAUCCAUUGCCACAUUAGAAAAAAGUUUGUAUAUUUUGAUGCAUGCACAGUAUGUUGUAAAGUCACAGGAAUCUCCAAGGAUCUUCAGAUAUUUUGUGGAAACCCAUUCAUCUGAAGGGUCUUCAAAAAAUUCACAAAAAUGUGUAUUAUGAAAAAAAGUUUGGAUUUAAUUUUUUGCACCAAAAUUAGCCUAUAUUUUAAUUUCACUUUUCCAUGAAAAUGUAGUUUCAGAUAGAAACCGAGUUGUAGACAGAAAUGUUUCACAUCUGAUAGAUAAAUCCCUUGUCAAAUGAACUUAUGAAUGAAUAUCCUGAAAUACGUUUCCUGGAAGAGAUCAUGACAUUUCUAGUUUAAUAAUAAAUGAUUGUUUUUUCAUGGUAAUAUUUUUGUU